AAAAAGACAAACCCUGGAUUUCCGUGUUCAACAUUUGACUGUUCGUCUUAUAUGAAAUUUUUUUAUAAUUAGUAUUUUCAUUGUUGUUAGAUGAUAAAACAUGAUUAAUACUUUAUGCGUGACUUGUCUUUUUAAUUUUUUUCAUAAUUUUUUCAAAUAAGACGGAUGAUAAAACUUGGACACGGAAACCCAGUGUUUGUCUUUUU
rfam:Oryza sativa (indica cultivar-group) chromosome 2, whole genome shotgun sequence.